rnacentral:lncRNA from 1 species
GGGGACUUUCAGUGGCCAUGAGGGAAUUCAAAAGUGGAUGGACUCUUGCUCUAAAUUGUCAUUUUGGCUCUCCCAGACUCCCGGCGGCCAAGGAGAAGGAAGAGACCCUGACUUCGUGUCCAGCGAGGCUUUUGUGUUACCGUGACCCAUCCUGCCGAGUGCCCCAUAAGGCAGCAGUUUCCACGGGAGGCCGAGCAAGAGGAGGCCGUGCAGGUCCGGGCUGCCCCAUGCUGAAGCCGCCCCACCGCCCGCCCUGUGAGCUCCUGGUACUCAAUGUAG